CAUGUGUAUAGGGACAUGUUUAACCCAUUCAUGACACAUAAAGGGAGAAUUCAAAGUGAAUUUAAGGCCAAAUUAGCCAAACUGGAAAAAUUCUCUAAGUAAUCAAUGCUUUGAGAAAGGCUACCUUGGACUAAAAUUUGAAAUUCAAUAUGAAUUCACUUUGAAGUCACACCUUAGUGAAUAACCCCGACAACUUGACACACCAGGACAUAGUGGGACAUCGUUAACCAAUUGUCAUGAAGGUGGUCAGCAAUUAUUAAAGGAACUCUAUCUAUGUAUACAUACAUUUAUGUAUUGUUACAGUAUAACGCG